CCCUGCCUUUUGUACACACCGCCCGUCGCUCCUACCGAUUGCGUGUGCUGGCGAAGUGUUUGGAUCGGUAUCAGUGGGGGGCAACCUCUGUUGGUACUGAGAUGAACAUUAAACCCUCCCACCUAGAGGAAGGAGAAGUCAUAACAAGGU
rnacentral:rRNA from 1 species